rnacentral:rRNA from 1 species
CCUACGGGUGACAGCAGUGAGGAAUAUUGGUCAAUGGGCGCGAGCCUGAACCAGCCAAGUAGCGUGAAGGAUGACUGCUCUACGGGUUGUAAACUUCAUUUAUAAAGGAAUAAAGUGAGGCACGUGUGCCUUUUUGUAUGUACUUUAUGAAUAAGGCUCGGCUAACUCCGUGCCAGCAGCCGCGGUAAUACGGAGGAUCCGAGCGUUAUCCAGAUUUAUUGGGUUUAAAGGGAGCGUAGAUGGGUUGUUAAGUCAGUUGUGAACGUUUGCGGCUCAACCGUAAAAUUGCAGUUGAUACUGGCAGGCUUGAGUGCAGUUGAGGUAAGCGGAAUUCGUGGUGUAGCGGUGAAAUGCGUAGAUAUCACGAAGAACUCCAGUUGCGAAGGCAGCCUACUAGACUGCCACUGACAUUGAUGCUCGAAAGUGUGGGUAUCAAACAGGAUUAGAUACCCGAGUAGUC